CAGCAUUCUGAACAGCAAUGCUCAUCACAUAAACAUGAAGUUUCCUCCAAAAGGAAUGAUGACUAAUGCUUUGAGGAAACAGCAGACGUCAGACAGCAAGCCCAGAAAAACCUGCCAGCACCAAGAGGGUGUCCUCAACAGGCGCCUGGGGGACAUAUUAUUCUAACUAAAGAGACCAGAGCUUCCCCAGGAAGGGAAGAGGAGAGAAAUGAAGAACGUCUGUGUUCAUGUUUGCCAAAAACAAAAGUCUGAGAAAUCUCUGAGAGACUCUACAUGGGAGGGCACUAAUCGAAGCACCUCAUUUAAAGUGAGAAAAGCUUUGCUAAGGGCAGAUGAUUCAGCACGGUAUCCUUCGAUGAGUACUGUCAUCUCAAAUCCUUUUUAAGAAGAAAAGUGCAACCCACUGGAGAAAGAGAGGGACUCCGAGGAAGGAGAGAGAGAAGAGCAUCAAGCACAAAUGAUGAUCUCCUAGGACAGUGGCAGCUUCUGAGAAUGCACAGGAAAGUGACCAGGGAAAGAAUGAUUCCAUCUCCAGGAAUCCCUGGUGAUCUUCAGAGCCCAGACAGGACCCUGCUGGGCCAUGGUAACU
rnacentral:lncRNA from 1 species